rnacentral:rRNA from 1 species
GACACGGUCCAAACUCCUACGGGAGGCAGCAGUGAGGAAUAUUGGUCAAUGGGCGCGAGCCUGAACCAGCCAAGUAGCGUGAAGGAUGAAGGUCCUACGGAUUGUAAACUUCUUUUAUAAGGGAAUAAAGUCGCCUACGUGUAGGCGUUUGUAUGUACCUUAUGAAUAAGCAUCGGCUAACUCCGUGCCAGCAGCCGCGGUAAUACGGAGGAUGCGAGCGUUAUCCGGAUUUAUUGGGUUUAAAGGGAGCGUAGACGGAGGAUUAAGUCAGUUGUGAAAGUUUGCGGCUCAACCGUAAAAUUGCAGUUGAUACUGGUCCCCUUGAGUGCAGUUGAGGCAGGCGGAAUUCGUGGUGUAGCGGUGAAAUGCUUAGAUAUCACGAAGAACCCCGAUUGCGAAGGCAGCCUGCUAAGCUGUAACUGACGUUGAUGCUCGAAAGUGUGGGUAUCAAACAGGAUUAGAUACCCUGGUAGUCCACACGGUAAACGAUGGAUACUCGCUGUUGGCGAUAUACUGUCAGCGGCCAAGCGAAAGCAUUAAGUAUCCCACCUGGGGAGUACGCCGGCAACGGUGAAACUCAAAGGAAUUGACGGGGGCCCGCACAAGCGGAGGAACAUGUGGUUUAAUUCGAUGAUACGCGAGGAACCUUACCCGGGCUUAAAUUGCAGAUGAAUUACGGUGAAAGCCGUAAGCCGCAAGGCAUCUGUGAAGGUGCUGCAUGGUUGUCGUCAGCUCGUGCCGUGAGGUGUCGGCUUAAGUGCCAUAACGAGCGCAACCCUCGUGGUCAGUUACUAACAGGUCAGGCUGAGGACUCUGGCCAGACUGCCAUCGUAAGAUGCGAGGAAGGUGGGGAUGACGUCAAAUCAGCACGGCCCUUACGUCCGGGGCUACACACGUGUUACAAUGGGAGGUACAGAAGGCAGCUACCCGGCGACGGGAUGCCAAUCUCCAAAACCUCUCUCAGUUCGGACUGGAGUCUGCAACCCGACUCCACGAAGCUGGAUUCGCUAGUAAUCGCGCAUCAGCCACGGCGCGGUGAAUACGUUCCCGGGCCUUGUACACACCGCCCGUCAAGCCAUGAAAGCCGGGAGUACCUGAAGUGCGUAACCGCAAGGAGCGCCCUAGGGUAAAACCGGUAAUUGGGGCUAAGUCGUAACAAGGUAGCCGUACCGGAAGGUGCGGCUG